GGGGUCGUAGCUCAGAUGGUAGAGCGCUCGCUUAGCAUGCGAGAGGUAGGGGGAUCGAUACCCUCCGACUCCA
rnacentral:tRNA from 2 species